UACGGGGGGGGGUAAGCGUUGUUCGGAAUUACUGGGCGUAAAGGGCUCGUAGGCGGCCAACUAAGUCAGACGUGAAAUCCCUCAGCUUAACUGGGGAACUGCGUCUGAUACUGGAUGGCUUGGAUUCGGGAGAGGAAUGCGGAAUUCCAGGUGUAGCGGUGAAAUGCGUAGAUAUCUGGAGGAACACCGGUGGCGAAGGCGGCAUUCUGGACCGAUAUUGACGCUGAGGAGCGAAAACCAGGGGAGCAAACGGG
rnacentral:rRNA from 1 species